CUAUUUCUUUUACUUUCGAGGUUUAUAUUUUUUUAUAACUCAGUUGACAAACUCGGGAGCUUCUUAAGGCAAUUUCCUCUUUUUCCAAAUGCUUUUCUGGUUGGUGGUGCAGAAGACUUCUUUAUUAUUGAACUUGCAGAUCAGCUUCAAAAACUGAAGGUGGAACCAGCAC